CAGCAGCCGCGGGAAUACGAAGGGUGCAAGCGUUACUCGGAAUUACUGGGCGUAAAGCGUGCGUAGGUGGUGGUUUAAGUCCGUUGUGAAAGCCCUGGGCUCAACCUGGGAAUUGCAGUGGAUACUGGGUCACUAGAGUGUGGUAGAGGAUAGUGGAAUUUCCGGUGUAGCAGUGAAAUGCGUAGAGAUCGGAAGGAACAUCUGUGGCGAAGGCGACUAUCUGGGCCAACACUGGCACUGAGGCACGAAAGCGUGGGGAGCAAACAGGAUUAGAGACCCCGGUAGUCCCUGUCUCUUAUAA
rnacentral:rRNA from 1 species